AUACUGUAACCUCGUUCACCUAAGAUAGUAGGGGUCCGAAUUUUCGGACUUAAUAUCCUACCGAGGAGAAUAGCAGCGACUAGUUGACUAGAGAUUAGCUUGUCUAUUAGAUAAAUUGCUAAUUAUCAAUCGCUCAGCGCUAAAACCUCGGUAGAAACGAGGUUUUUUAUUUAUCAAG
rfam:Candidatus Woykebacteria bacterium RBG_16_43_9 RBG_16_scaffold_6404, whole genome shotgun sequence.